rnacentral:rRNA from 1 species
GACGAACGCUGGCGGCGUGCUUAACACAUGCAAGUCGAACGGAAAGGCCCUGCUUUUGUGGGGUGCUCGAGUGGCGAACGGGUGAGUAACACGUGAGUAACCUGCCCUUGACUUUGGGAUAACUUCAGGAAACUGGGGCUAAUACCGGAUAGGAGCUCCUGCUGCAUGGUGGGGGUUGGAAAGUUUCGGCGGUUGGGGAUGGACUCGCGGCUUAUCAGCUUGUUGGUGGGGUAGUGGCUUACCAAGGCUUUGACGGGUAGCCGGCCUGAGAGGGUGACCGGCCACAUUGGUACUGAGAUACGGCCCAGACUCCUACGGGAGGCAGCAGUGGGGAAUAUUGCACAAUGGGCGGAAGCCUGAUGCAGCAACGCCGCGUGCGAGAUGACGGCCUUCGGGUUGUAAACCGCUUUCGCCUGUGACGAAGCGUGAGUGACGGUAAUGGGUAAAGAAGCACCGGCUAACUACGUG